UACGAAGGUCCCAAGCGUUGUUCGGAAUCACUGGGCGUAAAGCGCGUGUAGGCGGCGCGGUAAGUCAGAUGUGAAAUCUCCAGGCUCAACCUGGAAACUGCAUCCGAUACUGCCGUGCUAGAGGACUGGAGAGGGAUGUGGAAUUCUCGGUGGAGCAGUGAAAUGCGUAGAGAUCGAGAGGAACACCAAUGGCGAAGGCAACAUCCUGGACAGAUCCUGACGCUGAGACGCGAAGGCUAGGGUAGCGAACGGG
rnacentral:rRNA from 1 species